CGGAGUAUGGACCGCGUUUUAAAAUUUAAAUCCCAUCUAGGCACACUUCCUGGUUGUGGUUGGUCACAGUGACCAGAGCCCAGGAAAUAACCACACGGAUUCUUGGGUAAGGGUGAGGGUAACCAAUGGGCAUUAAUUUGCAGGCUCACCUGAGCAGGUCUGAAGAGGCCCUUCCUUGCCUGUGCUGUUGAUUAUGGAUCUUGGGUGGCUUGCCCUUUUCAAAAAGUUCUCUCCCCAGAACACCACUUUGAAAUUGAGCCCUGGCGGCCAGCAACCAUGGUGCCCAAGGUUUUCACUACCAGAUGCCAGGGAAGAGUCCUCUGUUUUGGGGCUUGCUUGUUAAUGAAUUCAGAGUGGGCAGUGAUUUCUGUGCUGUGAAAUCCUCCCCCCCCCCAUAUUUUUUCUCCCUUUGGCUACGGUUUACAUAUGUGUGUAUAAUCCCAUCACAUGGUUCUGGGAUGUUGCCACCUACAGACAGUAUACAAAGCCAUUUGUAGGGGUUCUCUGUCUUUUCUUCCUUCCCUAUCCCUUUAAGGGAACCGUAGACUUGGGCAAACCAGCCCUUAGCCUGCACAUCCCCCUGCUGAAGUCUUGUUGACCUUGGUGGCAUUGUGGAGGUCAUGUGUUCAUAAACAGUUCUGGAACUGCUUCCUCCCGCUGGUAUGGACAGAGGUGAAACUGAUUUGAGGCGGGUGUGGGCCAGCUUUUGUGUUUAGAAAUCCUUUUUUAUUGAACCUUUUUUUUUUUGGCCGUUACUUUUGGAUUUUUUUUAGUUGGUGGGGUGGGGGAGAUUUCCUACAUGUCCAGUUUGCAUUUUAAGGGAAAGAAUCAGGGUUUGUUUUUUUCCCCCCGAACUUUUCUAGCCUUGCUGGUGCAUCACAGGGACAGCUGAGUGUCCUGGUGACAUUUUUAGAGCUUGGUGAAGGGAAGGAGGGACGGAGAAGGGCAGGCCUGGGAGCCCAGUGCCUUUGGCUUCUGAAAGCAGCUGCAUUCUAUGUAAGAAAUUUGAUACUUACAAGUGGAAGAUUACAAAACAAAUAAAUUAAGCAGUGGCUAGUUGUGUUACAUUAGAAUUCUACAUUUUGCAAAAAAGGAUCCACUACAAGGUGCCUUUAAACGAUCGAUGCGCCCCCCCCACCCCCCUUAUGUGGAACUUAGGGGCCCUGGUAGUGCAGUGGUUAAAGCUCUCAAAUGCACACCAGAAGAGGCCCAUCACACCUACCAGCCACGUCCCUGGAGAGUAAGGCGGCGUGGACAUCCCUUUGGGGCAGUUUGGCUGCAUUCUGUCCUAUCAGCUCGUUUGCCAUGAGCUGGAAUCCACCGGAUGACAGAGGUUUGGGGAUUGUAUCUGGUACUGCUCAAAUGUAAUUUGCUUUAUGGAAAAUCGGUUGGAGUGCAGCAACUUAAAGACAGAUUUUUUGCAUAGUGGAACAUUUACCCGUGUGUUUUCCUUCAAUUUUCCCUUUCCUAAAACUGCCUGGGGGCAAAGUUAAUAUUUAUGGGGCUUCUUAAACUCAGGAGUGAACCACAUAGUGCUACCUACUAAUUUUUAACUGAGUGGAAAAGUUGUCCUGAUGUGCCCUGCACCGUUUGAGGGGACACACUGAGGCCUCAUUCAUAACAGUUUUCAUUGUGAAGGAAAAUUCUGAGUCAAGUUAGUCUAGAAACGUCACCCCCACCCCCUCCAGGUAAUGCACUCUCUUGGUUUCAAACUUGCCUGGCCCCUUCUUAGAGGGGUCCUCAGCAUUCACACACACACACACACACACACACACACACACACACACACAAUCACGCCGAGUGCUGGUGUGAAGUCUGAGGGCAACACCAGCCAGUGCUCCCAGACUUGUUCUCUAGGCGCAAAUUGUCGUCAGAAUUAAAGGCCUGCUUUUUCCACAGCUGUCAUUUUAUUUGGGUCACUGGUGAAGAAAAUGCUAUUUUGAUCAAAGAAUGGCUACAAAUUCUUUAAACUUGCAAAGGGCCCCCUUCCCAACCUUCUCUCUCUUUGUUAAUGGAAUCAGGUUGGUUUGGAAUCAUCUCAAAGAAGUACAUGGGGAUUUGGGUUCUGAAAUCGUUUUGCGUUGGUGAAAUCCUGCUCAACUAUUCCCGUUCCUGUUUUAAACAUCACCAGAGCAAAAUGAACUUACCGCUGGGAGGAGGGAGGAAGUGCUGACAAACGGUCUUGAGGAUAAUGGAUCCCAUCCAGUUUGCUUUGUGCUCUCCUGCCUGGUGCAGGGGAGAGCAGGCCCCCACCCCCACCCUGAGUUUAGAGCAGGAAUGUGGAGGACCAGAGCAGCAGCUUAGGCCAGGGCCUUCAAACAGUUGACCAGACAAUGGAAUGAGGGUGGAAUUUUCCACCAACUUUUUGAAAGCCCUCCAGAGCACUUAGUCUUUUUUUUUGUUUUGUUCCUGUGCUUUAGACAGAAAGCAGGGAGUUUGGACUGGUGCUCUGGGGAGACUGGACACACUGUGGUGUGGUGUUCUGAGUGACCUCCCCCACCCGACUGUUACAAAGAUGGGGGUGGGGGGCUCGCCAGUGCCAUCCUGAGUUCUCAGUACCAGCUCCUGCCGCCUACAUUAAACAAGUGAGUUAAAAAUGAAGAUAUGCUAUUAAAAGAAUGUUUUUUGUCCGUCCAUCUCCCCCCCCCCCAAAUUUCAGUAAACCACCUCCGGAUUGCUAAUUUCAGUGCACAGUGAAGUUUUUAAAAUAGUACAUCAGAUUUAUGAUUAACGAGAGCCCUUGAUUACUUUUUUAAUGCAUGCAAAAGUAAGUGUAGUGCUAGGUGUUUUUAUUUGUGCCGAGGUAGGAGUGAAUAGAGGUAAUGAUUAGACAUUUUAAUUAGAACUUAGGGCUGAUUUAUGUCCUUGUGCUCAUAAUUCAGCCCAGUGUCACUUUCAGAAUGCCAUGCAGUGCUCCUGUCUCCAGUUUCCUCUCCCACAAAACGAACUCAGUAGCACAGCACGCCUGUGUGAACUAGGACUUUGCAAGGAGGAUUUCUGAAGCCUAAAGCGUACCUGUAAACUCACUGGUGGAAUUUCAGUAGUUUCAUACCCUUAAUCGGCAGAAAUUUGAAUGGAAGAUUUUAAAAUACAAGAAAAGCUGAUUCAGUUUCGCCUUUUGGCUCCGGCUCUCACAGGGCGCAUGCUGCUCAAAGGUGAAUACCUCUGAAGAGCUGUGGCUCGCCUGCGGUCCUCUCUGCUCUCUUUGGACACUGGUCAGUAGUUGACCGCCAACUGUACACCCUGAAAGGACCUUUGGUGCAGGAUCCACUGGCUGUGGUGCCUCUGAUGUCCCCCUGAUGAAGACAAGCCGUGGAGAUCCUUCUCUCUUUCCCAGGGACAUCAGCCCGCCUCGACAUGCAGGGACCCUAACGGGCCAGUGCUGUUCCUGGGAGAGUUGGAGAGGGCCAACCAGCAUCCGGUGACUGCUCCUGCAAGCCCUGACCUGCUGCAGAAAGCGAAGCCCCCUGUGUCCAGUGCCAGCACCAGGGCUCUCAGCCACCUUCCUUAGUCUUUGCUUGACGUCCUGGAUGUAAAGGAUCUGAUAAGCGAGUAGCAUGUCAUCACUCGUCACCUUUUUAAAUACUGGCUCUUUUAAGCCUUGGACGUCUGUGGACCAGAGGCUUCCUUCAUAACGCUCGUCAUCAGAUUUGCUAGUUCACAGCCAAGGCUGCCGCCCUGCCAUUCCGGUGCUACCAGCGACUGAGGGCGCGAGGAUGCUGCCCUGGAACGAGGGCCCUUCUGGGAUGUCCAAAGAGCAGCGCUUUACACGCAGAGACGGCGCUUUGACAUCACGGGAAGGAACCUGUGGGCUUGAGGACGGCAUGCAGGCUACCUGUUGGCACCUGGUCCUCUGGCUUCAGGAAGUACAGUGGGGACAGAAGGGCAGCAGUGUGUGUCUCUGUGAACAGGCCACAGCGAGGCCCGCCCCUCUCUGCGUUCAUUUCCCUGGACAGGCCUCCGCCCUUGAAGAGCCUUGGCGGUGCUGUGGUGAAGCACUCGGCUGCCAACCGAAAGAUCUGCGGGCCUAGCCACCCCUUCCAUGACGAUGCCCAGCUGGGGGAGUCCCACAGAGCCCCGCUGUGUGAGUGGUGAUGGCCUGGGCUUGGCCUCCGGAGCACGCCGGGGCUGCGCUGCCAGUGUGCCGGCAGAAACAAAACCAACGGUGGCUACGGCGCCUCAGUGACAGAGGGAGUGCCUGCAAUCCCGCUCGAUGACCUGCCGGCGCGGGGCUUGUCUGACAUUCAGAGCUGGAGCCUGGGCGGGCGUGUCUCCUGUGGACCCUAUUGGCCACCAGCUGGGAGGGCCCACAUGACGGGAUCCUGUGGAAGGAAGAAGGGGUGGGGCUCUUUAAGGUGACUUUGUUCAACAGAAGAAAACAAUCUCUAAUUAUUUUAUUUGUUAUUAAGAAGGGAGCUGUUCUCUGUACCAGUAGGAGCCCUGGUGGCACAAUGAGCAAAGUCCCAGGCUGUUGGUUUCAAGGUCGGUGGUUCAAAUCCACCAGCCGCUCUAGGAGAGAAAGAUGAGGCUCUCUGCUCUCCUAAAGAUUUAUAGCCUUAGAUAGAAGCCCUGAGGGCCAGUUCUAUGCUGUCCUACAGAACCCCCGUGGGUCUGAAUCAGCUGGGCAGCAGCAGGUUGGGUUUGGCCAUUGGUUCUAUUAUGUAUCAGAUACAAAACCUCUGUCAUUGUGCCUUCCUUUGAAACCUGUCAAAUGCUGAAGAAGCCGUUCUGUAAUUAUACCGAGUCCAGAGAGAGUCGCAGUGCGUUGUGGGAGCGCGACACACACUAAAGAUCUCUGUAACCAGGCUCUCAAUCUGAGCACAUUUGGGAGUCCCCCAGCCAUGAACCAGUGUGUCAAAUACAGUGUUCUCUGCUCCUCUGGGGGGGGGGAAUGGGUAGUGUUUAUGUGUGGCGCAGGUUACCAAAUGGCCUGAAGUUCAAAUCCAAAACCCAGGGGUUGAUUGUGAAUCGUUCUGUUUGGUUUGACAUUCAUUGGCUUGCACCUCAGUGCUCUGAUCAUGUGGUAGGGCCUCCGACCGCAGCGGCCCUUGGCAGUCGCACGUUGCCACUCUGCACAAAUUAGAUGUGACACUGGAGUUGUAAUGAAGUGCCCUUGGAGUGUGCCUCAUGCUUUAAUUGGCCCAACGAAAGUCUAAGUUGUACAGGGCUCUCUGCCCCCCAGGAAGCACGUGCCUGCCAUCUUUGCUGACCGGGUACUUGCUGAAAUGUGAACGUUUUAUGUAUAUUUUCUUCCUGAUAAGCACGUGCGUCUCAGUUUCCACUGUGACAGAAUCUGGACAAGUGCAGUGUCCCCUCUCCCCUCCUUGUCACCACCUCGCUGUCUGUGUGACUCGUCUCAACAGAGAAAACUUAAAAGUGGGCAAACGAAAUCAGAAAAAUGUAAAGUUGGGUCUCUUGCAUAAUAACUGUGUAUGUCCUGAAAUUAAACUCUUAUUUUCUGUCAAGGAUAA